GUUAUCAGGGCAAUGGUGCGUGGCGGCUUGUCUUCACACAUAAAAUAUUUCAGGGUUGUGACUCGUCGGCGUUCAUUUCAGCCAUCCCCCAGCCUCUAUUAGGAGCUAUUUAUGGAUCCAAUUAUUUGUAGAUGUGUUUAGUGGCCUUUCAAAGGCACAUGGGAAAAAAUAUGCAUCAUCUGACAGUGUAGCCACUGGCUGAUUCAUUUUCUGUCUGGCAUUUCUCCCAAACCUUGAGCUCAGCAGAAACGGCAGAUGCUAUUUCUCUUCAGGUCAUCAAUAAAUGAUCUGUUGUGUCAUCAGUGCUGGUGACCCAUUGCUGCAGUGAACAUAUAAGACGGUCAAGAUAUCUGAAGAUUUUUUUGCUUCAAACACCAGGUUUUCUACGGUUAGAGGAAAUGUGUUAGAUUUAUUUUGUUUUAAAUCAUAGUUUGUAAAAUUCUGAUACAUUUGUCUACCUAAAACCCCACUGCAAGCCUCCAGCUUUCUUUACAAUGGUGUAUUCUGCUGAAAAGAAAUCUGAUGCACUGGCUCUGGAUAUCAGCAAACAUCACAUAAUGCCACAUAGUGUAGAGAGCAAUACUGGACACAGCUUGUUUCUACACAGAACAUGUGUGGUGCGACAUGGCAAUGGUUGUAAAAAAAUGUGUAUUUGCUGUAACAACUCGACUGGCCCCGAGUGGAGAAAAUCACCUGACUAGUGGCCCCCAGGUAAUUUGAAUAUGAGCC
rnacentral:lncRNA from 1 species